GUACCAAAUCAUUUAGUACUCAAUCUUGCACUUAAAAAAAGUCUCAACAAAAAUUUAAUAAAAAUGAAUCGAAAUUUCGCAAUUUUGAUUUUCCUAAUCGUCGCAUUCGUUGCGGUUGCUGUUGUGUCCGGUGAAUCUCCAAUUUGUACGUUAAAAGCAGCCGCUUGUGCUGCCGGAUGUAAAGCGGGGGGUUUAGGGGGUGGGGCCUGCCAAGCGGGUGCAAAUGGGUGCAACCGAUGCGUCUGUUCAUAAUUCUUGUAUUAAAUUAUGUAUAAUUACGGUAAAAAAUAGUUCACAGUUUAAUGACAGUCCAAUUUUUGUGCAAAAAAUAAAUGAAUAAAUAACAAUUUAAAAAACAAC